rnacentral:rRNA from 1 species
GCUGACGAGUGGCGGACGGGUGAGUAAUGUCUGGGAAACUGCCUGAUGGAGGGGGAUAACUACUGGAAACGGUAGCUAAUACCGCAUAACGUCGCAAGACCAAAGAGGGGGACCUUCGGGCCUCUUGCCAUCGGAUGUGCCCAGAUGGGAUUAGCUAGUAGGUGGGGUAACGGCUCACCUAGGCGACGAUCCCUAGCUGGUCUGAGAGGAUGACCAGCCACACUGGAACUGAGACACGGUC